GCGCCAGUUCUUCGUUGCCUUCGGCGUUCGGAUUUCUAAUCCGACGGUCAGUGGUUCGAGUCCACUCGGGCGUGCCA
rnacentral:tRNA from 1 species